UUUGCUGCUCGUCCAAAGGACUCGGGUUUGAGUCCCAGCAACCCCAUGGUAGCUCAAACUGUCUGUAACUCCAGGUCUAGAGAAUCUGAUGCCAUCUCAGUGCACCAAGCACACACUCAGUGCAUUUACAUGCACCCAGGCAAAACACUUGUAUACAUAAAAUAAAAAAUGAAAAGUUCCAAAUUAUCUAAAGAAAUGAAGGUGGACCUCAUAAAUCUCCUUCGUGCUUUUCUUCAGCUCCCCAGACUAGGGAUUGAACCUGGGGACUCACUCCAGCCAAGUGUUCUACCAAGUGACCGUCAUCCCCAGACCCUUUGAGAUUCACUUAGUCUCUUAAAUUCUAUCCCUGCAGUCUCCUGGCAGCAGCUGAUGCCCUCCUUCCGCCAGGCUCCUUGGGGAAGAAAGCUCUGGAGUCUGGUGAGCUCUCAUCUGAGAACUGGGAAUCCUUUGUCCUGGGCUCUGGUGAUCCUGAUUCUCCAACAGGUACCUGUUGGGCUGGCAUUUCCUGGUGUGCACCCAUGGCAGCCUCUUUCUUUGUUGUCUGAGUUUGGAUUAAAGGGAGGCUUGUUGCUUCACAGUCAGGUAUGCUGGGUCUUAGCUCGGAGGAGAGAAGGGUGAAAACAGGCUCUUGAGCAACUCGGACUAAUAGAGUGUUAAUUAGUAAGGCGCACUUAACUUUUUCAUGCCAACCCAAACAGGCCAGCGUAGGCGGACAUUUUUUUGCAACCUACUUUUAAUAAGGGUUCAACCUCUCCUCUAGACCACAACCCAACAGCGGUAGUGGAAGAGAAAAGUUAUUAGGAUACGGGGGAAGUGGACCCGUUCAACAGUAGUUCUUUGGGGAUGAGCUCCAUCUUCUUUGGCAUCAGUUCAGUCCCAUAGCGAACACCAAAUAUGACUCAGCAGCUACUGACCAGUCCUUUCUGCAGGCAGACGCCAGGAACGAGCCAGCAGCUGUUGUCCAAUCCUGAAGAAACCAUUAGGCUCGACGACCAGCCUGAGGCGAGACCUUGGAAGCAGCAAGGAACCUCACAAGCAGCCCUUGGGCGAGUUUCUCUCAACGGCAGCGUUAUUACUCAACCCCACUCAACAGAGAGUGGGCCAUCCAUCUUGCCUCCACAGAAACUGUCAUGCCUUGAACACAGCCCGUCUUCUCUGGGCCUGGACUCUCCCCUCCUGGGCUGACGUCAGCCUUGCCCUCCCUGAAGGUCCCACAGCCUGGAAUCAUCAGUGGUUGUGGUGUAUGGGAGCAAACAACGGAUGUAUCUGCAGUACUGUGUGUCUCUGGUGAUGUGGCCCAAAGACGCUUGGGUCACCAAGCCAAGUGCUGAGCUGGCUGAAGUUCUUACAGUCGCAGAGGCCAGGACUGCGCGCCACACAAAGAGGCCAUUGUCUGGGCAGCAUGAGCGAUGUUUUGCUGGGGAAGGUUACUAGCCCGACUGCUUAUUGUCACAGGACCUCAAUUGAUUUUGUGCCCAAGCAGUGAACUACAGGCAAUUCACAGAAUUCCUUCCUUUCUUUCCACAGCACUUACAGCUCUCAAGUCAUGUAAGCCUGCCCUGGUGUUUGCAAACAAGUUAUUCCCAGAAAGGGUUCCAUAUUAAAACCAUUCCCUCUGUGCCAUCACAAA